AGCGAACGCUGGCGGCAGGCCUAACACAUGCAAGUCGAACGAACUCUUCGGAGUUAGUGGCGGACGGGUGAGUAACACGUGGGAACGUGCCUUUUGGUUCGGAAUAACUCAGGGAAACUUGUGCUAAUACCGAAUGCGCCCUUCGGGGGAAAGAUUUAUCGCCAUUAGAGCGGCCCGCGUCUGAUUAGCUAGUUGGUGAGGUAACGGCUCACCAAGGCGACGAUCAGUAGCUGGUCUGAGAGGAUGACCAGCCACACUGGGACUGAGACACGGCCCAGACUCCUACGGGAGGCAGCAGUGGGGAAUCUUGCGCAAUGGGCGAAAGCCUGACGCAGCCAUGCCGCGUGAAUGAUGAAGGUCUUAGGAUUGUAAAAUUCUUUCACCGGGGACGAUAAUGACGGUACCCGGAGAAGAAGCCCCGGCUAACUUCGUG
rnacentral:rRNA from 1 species